CCUACGGGAGGCAGCAGUAGGGAAUCUUUCACAAUGGGCGAAAGCCUGAUGGAGCAACGCCGCGUGCAGGAUGAAGGCCUUCGGGUUGUAAACUGCUUUUAUAAGCGAGAAAUAUGAUGGUAACUUAUGAAUAAGGAUCGGCUAACUACGUGCCAGCAGCCGCGGUCAUACGUAGGAUCCGAGCAUUAUCCGGAGUGACUGGGUGUAAAGAGUUGCGUAGGUGGCAUAAUAAGUAGCUAGUGGAAUCUGGUGGCUCAACCAUUCAGACUAUUAGCUAAACUGUUAAGCUGGAGACCGUUAGGGGUAAGUGGAAUUUCUAGUGUAGGAGUGAAAUGCGUAGAUAUUAGAAAGAACACCAAUAGCGAAGGCAGGUUACUGGGACGUUUCUGACACUAAGGCACGAAAGUGUAGGGAGCAAACGGGAUUAGAUACCCCUGUAGUC
rnacentral:rRNA from 1 species